GAUGAACGCAGGCGGCGUGCCUAAUACAUGCAAGUCGAGCGAACGGACGAGAAGCUUGCUUCUCUGAUGUUAGCGGCGGACGGGUGAGUAACACGUGGAUAACCUACCUAUAAGACUGGGAUAACUUCGGGAAACCGGAGCUAAUACCGGAUAAUAUUUUGAACCGCAUGGUUCAAAAGUAAAAGACGGUCUUGCUGUCACUUAUAGAUGGAUCCGCGCUGCAUUAGCUAGUUGGUAAGGUAACGGCUUACCAAGGCAACGAUGCAUAGCCGACCUGAGAGGGUGAUCGGCCACACUGGAACUGAGACACGGUCCAGACUCCUACGGGAGGCAGCAGUAGGGAAUCUUCCGCAAUGGGCGAAAGCCUGACGGAGCAACGCCGCGUGAGUGAUGAAGGUCUUCGGAUCGUAAAACUCUGUUAUUAGGGAAGAAUAUAUGUGUAAGUAACUGUGCACAUCUUGACGGUACCUAAUCAGAAAGCCACGGCUAACUACGUGCCAGCAGCCGCGGUAAUACGUAGGUGGCAAGCGUUAUCCGGAAUUAUUGGGCGUAAAGCGCGCGUAGGCGGUUUUUUAAGUCUGAUGUGAAAGCCCACGGCUCAACCGUGGAGGGUCAUUGGAAACUGGAAAACUUGAGUGCAGAAGAGGAAAGUGGAAUUCCAUGUGUAGCGGUGAAAUGCGCAGAGAUAUGGAGGAACACCAGUGGCGAAGGCGACUUUCUGGUCUGUAACUGACGCUGAUGUGCGAAAGCGUGGGGAUCAAACAGGAUUAGAUACCCUGGUAGUCCACGCCGUAAACGAUGAGUGCUAAGUGUUAGGGGGUUUCCGCCCCUUAGUGCUGCAGCUAACGCAUUAAGCACUCCGCCUGGGGAGUACGACCGCAAGGUUGAAACUCAAAGGAAUUGACGGGGACCCGCACAAGCGGUGGAGCAUGUGGUUUAAUUCGAAGCAACGCGAAGAACCUUACCAAAUCUUGACAUCCUUUGACAACUCUAGAGAUAGAGCCUUCCCCUUCGGGGGACAAAGUGACAGGUGGUGCAUGGUUGUCGUCAGCUCGUGUCGUGAGAUGUUGGGUUAAGUCCCGCAACGAGCGCAACCCUUAAGCUUAGUUGCCAUCAUUAAGUUGGGCACUCUAAGUUGACUGCCGGUGACAAACCGGAGGAAGGUGGGGAUGACGUCAAAUCAUCAUGCCCCUUAUGAUUUGGGCUACACACGUGCUACAAUGGACAAUACAAAGGGCAGCGAAACCGCGAGGUCAAGCAAAUCCCAUAAAGUUGUUCUCAGUUCGGAUUGUAGUCUGCAACUCGACUACAUGAAGCUGGAAUCGCUAGUAAUCGUAGAUCAGCAUGCUACGGUGAAUACGUUCCCGGGUCU
rnacentral:rRNA from 1 species